GUAGCGGGGCUCAAGCGUACCGCCGAAGCUGUGGCAGCAACACGCGUGCUGGCGCCAGGAACUGGUUGUUGGUGUGUUGUUGGGUAGGGGAGCGUCCUGCAUGAGGUGAAGCCUGGAGGUAACUUCUGGUGGAUUGUGUGGGAGUGAGAAUGCAGGCAUGAGUAACGAAUCUGCGGUGAGAAUCCGCAGCGCCGAUUGACUAAGGGUUCCAGGGCUAGGUUUAUCCGCCCUGGGUUAGUCGGGUCCUAAGGCGAGGCCGACAGGCGUAGUCGAUGGACAACCAGUUGAUAUUCUGGUACCGCGUUAUGACCGCCCAUGCUGAAGUCAUUGUGCUAACCAAUUUGCUCACGCCCCCACAUGACCUUCGGGUCGCGUGGUGUGUGUGGGUCUUGGGGCCCCGGUGAUUGUAGGCAAGCGUGUUAACAGGGGUGACGCAGACAGGUAGCUGCAGUGCGCCGAUGGUUGUGCGUAUUUAAGGUUGUGGCCCGUCCCCCAGGUAAAUCCGGGGGGCACCAAGGGUGAGAACUGAUGAGGGUGACACGAUAGUGUCGUCUUGUGGUGAUCCUAUGCUGCCGAGAAAAGCCUCGACGUGAGGGCAUGACGCGCCCGUACCCUAAACCGACUCAGGUGGUCAGGUAGAGUAUACCGAGGCGUUCGAGUGAAUCGUGGUUAAGGAACUCGGCAAAAUUCCUCCGUAACUUCGGGAUAAGGAGGACCCCGUGACUUCCCCGCGCCAUUGCGUGCGGGUGGGGUUGUGGGGUCGCAGAGAAUAGGGAGAAGCGACUGUUUAUCAAAAACACAGGUGCGUGCGAAGCCGUAAGGCGAUGUAUACGCACUGACGCCUGCCCGGUGCUGGAAGGUUAAGAGGAACCGUCAACACCCCUUGUGGGUGUGAAGCGGUGAAUUUAAGCCCCAGUAAACGGCGGUGGUAACUAUAACCAUCCUAAGGUAGCGAAAUUCCUUGUCGGGUAAGUUCCGACCUGCACGAAUGGCGUAACGAUCUCCACACUGUCUCGGCCAGAGACUCGGUGAAAUUGCAGUCGCGGUGAAAAUUCCGUGUACCCGCAGAAAGACGGAAAGACCCUGUGCACCUUUACUAUAGCUUGACAUUGGAUUUUGGGCCUGCAUGUGUAGGAUAGGUGGGAGGCUGCGAACCCUGUACGCCAGUAUGGGGGGAGCCAUCCUUGAAAUACCACCCUUGCAUGUUUAAGAUCCUAACUUCUUCCGGUUAUCCCGGAGAAAGACAGUGUCUGGCGGGUAGUUUGACUGGGGCGGUCGCCUCCUAAAGUGUAACGGAGGCAUGCAAAGGUUCCCUCAGCCUGAUCGGAAACCAGGCGCUGAGUGCAAACGCAUAAGGGAGCUUGACUGUAAGAGAGACAUCUCGAACAGGAACGAAAGUUGGCGUUAGUGAUCCGGUGGUCCCGAAUGGAAGGGCCAUCGCUCAUUGGAUAAAAGGUACGCCGGGGAUAACAGGCUGAUCGCAUCCAAGAGUUCACAUCGACGAUGCGGUUUGGCACCUCGAUGUCGGCUCAUCACAUCCUGGGGCUGAAGCAGGUCCCAAGGGUACGGCUGUUCGCCGUUUAAAGUGGUACGCGAGCUGGGUUUAAAACGUCGUGAGACAGUUUGGUCCCUAUCUUCUGUGGGCGAAGGAGAAUUGAGAGGGCCUGUCCCUAGUACGAGAGGACCGGGAUGGACGCACCCCUGGUGAUCCUGUUGUCGCGCCAGCGGCAUAGCAGGGUAGCUAUGUGCGGAAGGGAUAACCGCUGAAAGCAUCUAAGCGGGAAGCCUGCCUCAAGAUAAGUUCUCCCCUCGAAAGAGCUGAAGGGCCCGGGUAGACUACCCGGUCGAUAGGCUGGAGGUGUAAGCGCGGCGACGUGCUCAGCUGACCAGUACUAAUAGCCCGAGCGGCUUAUUUUU
rnacentral:rRNA from 1 species